GCCAGGCACAGUGGCACAUGCCUGUAAUCCCAGCAGCUUGGGAGGCUGAGGCAGGAGGAUGGAGAGUUCAAAGCCAGCCUCAG
rnacentral:sRNA from 1 species